rnacentral:misc_RNA from 1 species
CGCGCGUUCGUGGGCGUUAGUGAGUGACGGAAUAGUAAAGGAACUGAGGGAGAAAAAAACGAGGAUAACAAAUGAGCGAGGAUAAAACAGUACAUCCGAGAAAGUAAAGCAAAGGGCGAAGAACGAAUGAGUUAACGAAAUAUCUAAAAGUGACGGGAAAUCAUUAAAACGUUGGAUAUAAGUAGUUAUUUUAUUAAACAAAUAAAUAAACGAAGUGACAAAUAUACAAGACGGGAACAAACACAUAGUUAAACUCCAAGGAAAAGAAUAAUUGUCGGUCAUCGUGUAUAUCGGGCAGCGUUUUUCCCUCCCUGCCGAUUCUUCUUCGCCAAAUACUUCUUUCGACAGGAAUCUACGAGGAGAGUUCAUAGAAAAGAAAACAUAUUGACGAACAAAUAAACCUUUCUUACAAAUAUUAACGAGAGCCGUGACUCCACGAGCCAAGGAACGCGGUGUCGAGGAUUCGCGUGUGUGCUGUUGGCUUGUUAUAUUUUUUGAAAGUAUAUUAUAUAUUUAUAUUCAUUUAUCCAUCAGCCUCGCCGUUGUAUAUAAGCAACUCAUUGUCUUCACUCUGGAGAAAACAAGAGAACGAAGUCCUCGGUGGAGAGAAUAUUGAACUAAGAAGACUUUGAAGAAUGAGGAAAACUGAGCAUACCCAACGAUCGAACAAGGACCAAUCGGCCCUUACAGCGAGAGAUGAUUUUUAGAAGGCAGUGGGCAUGACGUACCGAACUAAUGCAGUGGCGAAAACACGUGCGCAUCAAGUACGGUGGUCGAGUUGGUGUCGGUCAAGGACAGCAGGAGCAGGUGCAGUUGCAGGUGCGGGUGGUGCAGCUGCAGCAGGGAGAGCGGGGCGGGCGACUGAGGUAUCAGAUCUGCCAGGAGGAGCAGCAGGAGCCUCAACUCUCGUAUACUCCACGCCGCAGCUGCAGCCCGACAAUCAUGCUCUGCUGCGGCCGCAGAAAAGAGGGGCGGGGAGAAGUGACAGACAUAAGCGCCAGUCCCGGUCGGCAGGCACCUGCCAACCAGUUGCGCCCAAAGGAACCACCCCCGAUGGUUAUUCAGGGCGACUUCAGAAAGAGGGACCGUCUUUCGCAGGUGAGCGGUAUCAGCAACGAGAUCUUCAAGCAGAUCGAGACCGUAGAGAACGACCAUGACGCUUCGACGGCAGCGGCACUCGAAGCCGUCGAGCGACGGGGCGAGAUGGUUGUACGGGUCAUCGAACCACGUCAAAUGGGAAGACAAGCUUCUGAGGCAGCCAAAAAAUUUAUCUCCGCUCAAGAUCCUAAGCACCCGAUAUAUUUCGUUGAGAUAAUUAAAAGACCGGGACAAACGCUCGGCCUGUACAUUCGUGAGGGUAAUGGCGUCGACAGGAACGACGGUGUCUUCAUCUCGAGGAUAGCACUCGAAUCUGCAGUUUACAAUAGUGGAUGCCUAAAGGUCGGUGACGAGAUUCUUGCUGUAAAUCUUGUGGACGUGACGCACAUGAGUCUCGACGAUGUGGUAAUAAUAAUGUCGAUACCGAGGCGAUUGGUACUGGCAACGAGGCACGGCCCUCAUCAGCCGGUAUCGCACAGUCGUCAGAACGAGCACAAGGCACCACCGGUCGUCGUGAUAAAGCGGGAGCUCAAUGAGGAUGAGAGCGAUCACGCGACGAGCAAUCACAUCAGGGACAGCAAUCGCAGAAGGGGUGACGGAAGAGAGAUGCUACCGUCCCGUUCGAGGCUCGGUUUAACGGGAUUGGGUUCGAGUCAAGAUCUCGGCUCGAGCAACGGUGAUCUGUAUUACAAUUCACGACCGGAGGGUCACUGGUCUUAUCAACCACCUCCGCCGCCAGUAAUCACCCAUCAACCGAAGCCCUCUACGACUCAACACUUCCAGCCUUACGAGAGGGGCUAUCCGAAGACCCUCGAGAGCCUCGCCGAGAAAGAUUUCACGAAGGUACACUCGUUCUACACCGGUCCGGUGAUGCCGACAAACGGAAGUCGUCGCAUGUCAACCGGCGGUGGUAUGCAGUCCGUGAGUGGCCGAUUGACCGGUCAAACCCAAAAUUAUGGCUACGGUCAACACACUGCGAGCGGAAGAAUAAUGCCUCGGAGUGGCUCUGAUCAACAUCUACCGCGGGUCGAUUACACGAGCAUAACGACGCCGGCGAGACACACGCUCCUGAGAUCGAGUCUCAAAUCAGGCUCUUCGGCGUUGCGUUACAACUCGAGAUACAGUACGCAAACGGACACGACGACGAAUUCUCAGCGAGCAGGUCAGGGUCAGUUCGGUACAUUGACCAGGAGACACAGACCGUCGCUGGAUUACGCUUCGGACACCGAGGCGACGUGUUCGAGCUCACCGAGGUCCGCUUACUACUAUUAUAGGCACAACGUCAAUAAUCCGGCGCAGAGUAGCGCCGUGUCGCAUUUAGCAACACUGUCGCGUUCGCAAAUUGGCCAAAGUUCGUCCGGUCUUAGAUCGAAUUCGUUACCACGAAGUGGCCGAACGUUGCCUCAACAACCUGGCCUCAGAACCGGAUUGAGUACUGUCACGUCCGGGCUUAUCGAUCAGGAAGACAGCGAUGGUGCAUUGUCGGCGCCUGAACUCCCAUCGAUCAGGCGAGACAGAGGGAGGAUACCAUCGUCCCCGAGUGUCUUCACAUCGGAUGAGUACAGAGCCUGGCUGAGUCGGACACCAAGUACGAGUGCGUUGUACGAACAAAUACGAGCUACAACGAGCAGGCCGCCCCGUUAUACGUACAGCGCAGAAAAUAUUCACGCAGCUGCAAAUGCGGCCGAAUACGGGGGCUAUGGGUCGUACAGACCUCUGUCGAGUACACUGGAUCGUUUAUCGACGAGAUCGGCAUCUGCGCAACAAGUGAAUCUCGCAAAUCUUCGAGCUUCGACGGCCAUAAGUUCGUCGAGUCAUCGAACUGCUCCUGGCGGCCAAAGACCAGCCUCGGUGGCGUCCAGCGCGCGUGCUUCAUUGGCCAGUCAAAAAGCUUCGUUGACGAGUUCGGCCAGUCAAAGAGCGACUUCCGUCAGGAGAAUUAGAAAUUUACUCGAUCUCGAGUCAACGAGAAAUAUUCCCACGCCCACGCCUACCAGAACUCAGGAUCAAAGACUGCUAGAUAUUAAUCCUGCAGAGUUCCUUAAGUAUAAGAUAGAGAAACCACCGACAGUCGGUACUCCGAGCUCAACGAGCUCCCUACUGAGUUCUUUGGGUGACAGCGGAGGCGGUGAUUUGGCUGGGGGUGUGAGUGGUCUCCUCUGGGUUCAUUUACUAGCAGGCCGAGGGCUUCGUUCGACGACGUCAUCAUCGGCGGCCACGACGCCUUCCACGCCAUCGGGUCAGCCUAAUUUAGGUAGUUGCGGUCUGAGAGAUCUUUAUUGCGUUCUUGAGUGCGAUAGAGUUCACAAAGCACGUACGGUAGUGCGCACCGGUGAUUUGAUGUUCGACUGGGACGAGACAUUCGAGCUCGAUCUCGUCGGGAAUCGGCAGCUCGACCUGCUCGUUUACUCGUGGGAUCCUCAGCACAGGCACAAAUUAUGUUACAAGGGUUCGGUGCAUCUUGCAACGUUGCUCAAAGAGUCGCCUCUCCACCAACUCGCUCUCAAGGUCGAGCCGCGUGGAACGAUUUAUCUGCGAUUGCGUUACACCGACGCCCAUCAAACUUUCAAGCGUCGCGGGUUGCCCGUUAUCUCGUUGGCAACGAGGGUCGCACCACUCUUCGGCGUCGAUCUCGACACGGUCGUGAGUCGUGAGAGCAAAACCGGCGGAGUUCCUGGCGGCGUUUCAACCGCGUUAGCCAUGGGUGGGGCAACCCAAAAUGUACCGAUCAUCGUGUGGCGGUGCGUCGAGGAAGUGGAGAGAAGAGGCCUCGAUAUAAUCGGCUUAUAUAGACUUUGCGGUUCUGCGACCAAGAAGAGAAUACUCAGAGAGGCCUUUGAGAGAAACGCGAGGUCGGUUGAUCUCUCGCCCGACAAUGUUCCCGACAUAAACGUCAUAACGGGAGUUCUCAAGGAUUAUUUAAGGGAGUUGCCGGAGCCACUAUUCACCAAGUGUCUCUACCAGAUGAUGGUCGAUGCACUUGCCGUAUGCCUGCCGGACGACCCCCAAGGCAACGCUAAACUGAUGUUCAGCAUACUCGACUGUCUUCCCAAGGUCAACAGGUGUACUCUCAUAUAUUUGUUGAAUCAUUUGGCAAUGGUCGUGUCACAAUGUAACAAGAUGUCGCCAGCGAGUUUGGCCGUUUGUUUCGGGCCUGUUUUGAUGCUUCACGCGGAGGACACUGGUCCGCCUCUCGACUUUCAACAGCCGAUAGCCGUACUCAAAUAUCUUUUAGAGAUAUGGCCAGUGAAGUCAGGUAAUGUUAUCCAUGGAUCGACAACGACGACGACGACCCCGAGAGGCUCCAAGAGCUCUCAUCUGCGGGCGAGUUACGAGACGAGACGUUGACGCGACGUGGCGUCAUCGAACUCGUUUGCGUGCGCCUAUUGGGAGGAACGAAGGAUAAAGUUUCACUCGUGACACGUUCGGAAGAUUUCUUCAGUCGCUUCAACGCUCCCUCGAGUUACGCUACAGCAAGUCGUGCGCAGCAGCAGCUCCAGCAAUCAUCUACAUCAGCAGCAAC